rnacentral:rRNA from 1 species
UGAGGAAUUUUCCGCAAUGGGCGAAAGCCUGACGGAGCGACGCCGCGUGAGGGAUGACAGCCUUCGGGUUGUAAACCUCUUUCGUGCGUGAAGAAAGUCUCGUUGCGAAUAACAGCGAGAUCUGACAGUAGGGCAGGAAGAAGACACGGCUAACCCUGUGCCAGCAGCCGCGGUAAGACAGGGGUGUCGAGCGUUGCUCGGAAUUACUGGGCGUAAAGCGCGUUUAGGUUGUUGAUUAAGUCAUGCGUGAAAGCUCUUGGCCUAACCAAGAGACUGCGUGUGAUACUGAUUGACUAGAGGGUGGGAGAGGAAAGUGGAAUUCCUGGUGUAGCGGUGAAAUGCGUAGAUAUCAGGAGGAACACCUGUGGCGAAGGCGGCUUUCUGGUCCACUUCUGACACUUUCACGCGAAAGCUAGGGGAGCAAACGGG